GAUGAACGCUGGCGGCGUGCCUAAUACAUGCAAGUCGAGCGAAUGGAUUAAGAGCUUGCUCUUAUGAAGUUAGCGGCGGACGGGUGAGUAACACGUGGGUAACCUGCCCAUAAGACUGGGAUAACUCCGGGAAACCGGGGCUAAUACCGGAUAACAUUUUGAACCGCAUGGUUCGAGAUUGAAAGGCGGCUUCGGCUGUCACUUAUGGAUGGACCCGCGUCGCAUUAGCUAGUUGGUGAGGUAACGGCUCACCAAGGCAACGAUGCGUAGCCGGCCUGAGAGGGUGAGCGGCCACACUGGGACUGAGACACGGCCCAGACUCCUACGGGAGGCAGCAGUAGGGAAUCUUCCGCAAUGGACGAAAGUCUGACGGAGCAACGCCGCGUGAGUGAUGAAGGCUUUCGGGUCGUAAAACUCUGUUGUUAGGGAAGAACAAGUGCUAGUUGAAUAAGCUGGCACCUUGACGGUACCUAACCAGAAAGCCACGGCUAACUACGUGCCAGCCGCCGCUGUAA
rnacentral:rRNA from 1 species